CCAAAUCUUAGACAUUAAGCAAGCGUGAAUGUACAGGUUACAACAAACAACAUUAGCAACAUCAUUGACUUGAGAAACAAAAAAAUUCUCAAGUCGUGCGAGGCUGAUGAUGAAUCCCUUUGGAUAUGUCCCUUCUUGGGAUGCUCUGCUCUGCUCUGUUCUACUCUGCUUGCUGCUCUACAUUUUCUGCAUCCACAAAUUAAAGCCCGCUUCUUUGAAGGAAGGAAGGAAGGACAUCCCACCGCGAGCCAUCACUUACGUUGAUAUUCAAUUCUGCAAACGCGCAACACAAUUGUUGUAUCAGCUGGUGCUUUAAGAGGAAUGUGACCCUUAAACUUAAAAGGAGCAGCAACAUUCUGGCGAUGGACAGUUCGAGUAAUUCAAAGAGAGAUUACAGUGUUUCAGUGCACAACACUUUUGAGCAUUACAUUACUAGGGAAACCCAAAAAUGAGAACAGAGUGUCAAGUAAGUACUGACCUUUCAGCAUAUCAAGACAGACAAUUGCUUCACUUCUGUUUGUCAGUUUGUUUGUUUGUUUGCUCUGAAUCAGCUGUGAAAUUCACUAGUGGGACUGCAGAAUCCAAUAAGUAGAAUAAAUGAACUUGGGUCAGACAGAGUAUGAAAAAAGCACUCUAAGGUGACUUAAGCACCCAAUCAUUCAUUACCUUAGAGUUGCCAUCUCCAGAUACUCUGCAACAGUGAAACCUGCCCCAGAUCAAUGGCAAUGAAACCUAAACAAGUAUGCAUUCUCCAUGCAAGAAUGUACGUAGCUGUGUACAAUACUUUCAGUACUCUGCCCCAGCAUAAUUCUCAUUGCUCUGCUCCUACAAGAUUAAUUCAGUAUCAGGCUAAAUAAAUUCAAGAAUCAAACAAAUUGGAAAGCAAAUAUUAGUAGGAAUAUUAGUAGAGUGUAACUCAAUUCAAUUUCACUUCACAAUAUUAGUAGGAAUCCUUAUCAUUCUGUAAAGAAAAUAAAUACCUCUUCCUCGCUGUUACUGAUGUCAACAGUUAAAUUGG
rnacentral:lncRNA from 1 species